CCCACUUUUAUGUUUUUUAUAUCUUGCAUGAGUGAUUCUAAAAGUCCUAUAUUUUGGGUGCUUGCUUGACUGCCAGAAACCCCAGAAGUCGCUGGGUCCAAUAAAGAACAAUCUGAAGAUGAAGCAAGCACAACACCUUUUGAGCUGGACUUUACAUACUCACUGAAUAAUGAAGUCAUGUACUUCGUCACUUCUGCUUGUAUAGUUGCCCCCGGAUCUACACCAAACAUCUUUACAAGUGCAAGGCCAACUGAUUCAAUCUUGUAACGUGGAUCCAAAAUAGAUGAGAUA
rnacentral:lncRNA from 1 species